UUACUUGUUGUUCCCUGUGUUACUUGCAUUACUUUCUUUUUGUUCCCUGUGUUACUUUACUUGUUCCCUGUGUUACUUGCAUUACUUUCUUUUGUUCCCUGUGUGUACUUUACUUGUUCCCUGUUACUUUACUUGCAGUACUUACUUUACUUGCAGUACUUACUUUACUUGUUCCCUGUGUUACUUUACUUGCAGUACUUACUUUACUUGUUCCCUGUGUUACUUUACUUGCAUUACUUUCUUUACUUGCAUUACUUUCUUUACUUGUUCCUUGUUACUUUACUUGCAUUACUUACUUUUCUUGUUCCCUGUGUUACUUUACUUGUUCCCUGUUACUUUACUUGUUCCCUGUUACUUUACUUGCAUUACUUUCUUUACUUGUUCCCUGUGUUACUUUACUUGCAUUACUUUCUUUACUUGUUCUGUUACUUUACUUGCAUUACUUUCUUUACUUGUUCCGUUACUUUACUUGCAUUACUUAUUCCCUGUUACUUUACUUGCAUUACUUUCUUUACUUGUUCCCUGUGUUACUUUUACUUGCAUUACUUUCUUUACUUGUUCCGUUACUUUACUUGUUCCCUGUGUUACUUGCAUUACUUUCUUUUUGUUCCCUGUGUUACUUUACUUGUUCCCUGUUACUUUACUUGCAUAGUUUUCUUUACUUGUUCCCUGUUACUUUACUUGUUCCCUGUUACUUUACUUGCAUUACUUUCUUUACUUGUUCCCUGUGUUACUUUACUUGCAUUACUUUCUUUACUUGUUCCCUGUGUUACUUUACUUGCAUUACUUUCUUUACUUGUUCCCUGUGUUACUUGCAUUACUUUCUUUUUUGUUCCCUGUGUUACUUUACUUGUUCCCUGUUACUUUACUUGCAGUACUUACUUUACUUGCAGUACUUACUUUACUUGUUCCCUGUGUUACUUUACUUGCAGUACUUACUUUACUUGUUCCCU
ensembl:lncRNA